GGGGAUAUAGCUCAGUGGUAGAGUGUGUCCUUAGCAAGCCCAAGGUCCUGGGUUCAAUUCCCAGUACCUCCA
rnacentral:tRNA from 1 species